CACUGAACAUAUAUACCUAUCCUGCACUUACGAGGCUAUGUGACCAAGAAGUUAUUUACUGAGAGUGGAGUAAUAAACAUAUGGUGGCAGCAAAAGAAAGUAACAACCGAUGAACUUCGAUGAACGUGGAUCCCCUUGGGACAAAUGUCUAAACAAAGUGCAAAAUAGAAUACAAGCAGCUAAAAGAAAAAAGACUUCCCCACCUUCUGCGCACUCCGAUAGGCUGCCUGAGGAGUCAAUCAGCAUGAUGCCUUCCGACCUGUACUCAGGGCGUUUUAAGCUCCGCCCACCUCCUGAAAACAAAGGCAAGCCUUGUAAUUGGCUGCUGAAUAUCAUGCAUAUUCAAUCUUGAACAACUCAGUGUUCCUAUUGGUGUUUGCAACAUUCUGGUACUGUCGCCCACCCUACGGACACACUGGGGCCAGGCUGCAGGCAGGAAAGAGGCACCGGCAGUCAGAGAAAUGGUUACCGGAGACAUACAGAGGUGGUAAAAUGACUGCCAAAUAUUUUCAGAUUGCCUGAAACCUCCUUCAAAUGUUGGGGCACUGAAAGGGCUCUGCCUGGCAAAACUCGGCUGUGGCCCCAACCAGCAGCACUCAAGAAGAGGGUCUGAGAACACACCCGCAAGGGAGGCACAAAUCUCUGAAAAUGGCGGGCAGUCAUCCAGACGGGUUAGUGUCAUCACAACUACUGACACAAGUUGGCCGUGAUUAACGUAAUCUGAAUGCUUCUCAGGGAUUGUUUAUGAAACAAAUCUUGGGAGAAAGUACAGGCGAGUUUCAUGUAUCCGCGGUUGUCUAAGAGACACCCGUUUCCAGUAGCUGCGAAUAAAGGCAAAGUAAAGUGUG